GAACGCGAAGAACCUUACCAAGUCUUGACAUACUGUGAGGACACAAGAGAUUGUGUUGUUCUGACCUUUGGUUAGACACAGAUACAGGUGGUGCAUGGUUGUCGUCAGCUCGUGUCGUGAGAUGUUGGGUUAAGUCCCGCAACGAGCGCAACCCUUAUAUCUAGUUGCCAGCAGUAAGAUGGGGACUCUAGAUAGACUGCCAGUGAUAAACUGGAGGAAGGUGGGGAUGACGUCAAAUCAUCAUGCCCCUUAUGACUUGGGCUACACACGUGCUACAAUGGAUAGGAACAAAGAGAAGCGAGCUCGCGAGAGUAAGCAAACCUCACAAAACUAUUCUCAGUUCGGAUUGUGGUCUGCAACUCGACUACAUGAAGCUGGAAUCGCUAGUAAUCGCGAAUCAGAAUGUCGCGGUGAAUACGUUCCCGGGUCUUGUACACACC
rnacentral:rRNA from 1 species